rnacentral:rRNA from 1 species
GGGUGAGUAACGCGUAUGCAACCUACCUAGUCAGAGGGGAAUAACCCGGCGAAAGUCGGACUAAUACCGCAGUAAAACAGGGACACCGCAUGGUGAUAUUUGUUAAAGAAAUUCGCUGAUAGAUGGGCAUGCGUUCCAUUAGGUAGUUGGUGAGGUAACGGCUCACCAAGCCGACGAUGGAUAGGGGAACUGAGAGGUUGGUCCCCCACACUGGUACUGAGACACGGACCAGACUCCUACGGGAGGCAGCAGUGAGGAAUAUUGGUCAAUGGGCGAGAGCCUGAACCAGCCAAGUCGCGUGAAAACGGAAGAAGGAUCUAUGGUUCGUAAACUUCUUUUGCAGGGGAAUUAAAGUGCAGGACGUGUCCUGUUUUGUAUGUACCCUGAGAAUAAGGAUCGGCUAACUCCGUGCCAGCAGCCGC